UAUUCUAUUAAUAUAUAGAUAAAUUUACAUUCAAUUUUUAAUGAUUUCGAAUAUUUUUAAAAAUUAUUUCUGUCACUAUGUUUGUACCAUGGAGCCAGAUAACAGGAGAGCGAUCGACAUAGGAAAAUAACUAGCAAAUACGAAUGGAAAGAAAAGGAAAGAUUAUUUUCGGAAUUACGCCGCUAGGUUUCGUUAUGUUCGCUGAAGUCAGGUUUAUGACGUCAUAUUUUUCAUUGACAAUUGUUGACAAUACUGCAUUAUUAGCAAUUGCAUUAAUGUUUUUUUAAUUUAUAAAAAGUAAUAUUUAUUUCAAAAUGGUAAAGAAAUGUAUUGUUCAUGGGUGUAUAAGUGGACAAGUCAAGGAUCGUAAUAAGAAUGCUAAAUUAAAUCGGAGAAACACGUUUUUAUUCACUGUACCACAGCACCCUGAUCUGGUAAAAUUAUGAAGUAGUGGAUUAAACCAGCAAUUAAUACCAAAAAAACAAUACACAAAGAAUGCAACUACGAAUAUUUAAUGACGUCUCACCUUAAUCAAGAUCAACUGGAAAAAUUUUUUGGUAUCAUGAGAAGUGUUUGUCGCUGUAAUAAUCAUCCAGACACCAUUCUAUUUGGACAGGUUUUCUGAUUACUCUGUUCAUAUUCGCUAGUCACCCCUUCAAAAGGGUCUAAUGUCACGGCUGGUGAGCUUCUUCAGUCAUUAAUGCAAACAAAGGAAUCUCUGAUUGCAUCGAAUUCGUUAAAAAAAAUUGGCUUAAUGACAUUGAUGCAAUUAUUGAAAAUGGUAUUGUGAAUCACGAAAACUCAUCCAGUGAAAAUAUUAAUGAAUUCGUAGACUUAUUGUUUGUGAUGAAUAAUCAUGGUUUGACAGUGUAUUCUUAAUUACUGCAAAAGUUCAACAAAAACUACGCAAGACCGUCAAGACCAAAAUUUUAAGCAAACAAAUCUCAGUUCGAGUAAAACUAUGACCAUGUACCACAUUGAGAAAUAAAAAUAUGUUAAAAUAAAUCUAUUUUCUAAUUGUUUUA